GAGCGGGGGUAUCCCCGCCGCGCAUCCCCUUCGGAAACCCCGCGGGGGCUCUGCGGCGGGGGCAGCAAACUCUCAGCCCAAGCUGGCACCUGCUUGUCGUGCCUUCGGUGCCGGUGUGCCUCCUCUUGUCUUGACAGCUGGAGUGAUUCUCCAUGCCUUCCGCAAGUGUGUGGGCCGGACGGACAGCCCCGAGAGCAUGCAGUGAGAAACGUUAAGAAUACCUGCUAGGGAAGAACUCCCAAAAAAGGGAGGAAAGGUGCAAUGAUGCUCAGGUUCAGGUGGGCAGCUGGCUCUAAGCCUUCCACCCUGGCAGCACAGCAACCGGUUGGGCCUUCAGCAUCCUCUCUGCUGCUGCUUAUCUCAGCUUAGGGACUGCAAAGCCUUCAAGAGUUAAACACAGGCAAAAACACCCUCUAUUCAGAUUUUUGACAGCUGUAAUGAGCUCAAGGAAGAAUUAUGUAAACAUUAUUAAGUGUUAAUAAACACAUGUCAGCGUUAGGCAGUCUUGUGUAGAAAUGUUGGUAAAAGCCAUAGUGAACGCUUUAUUCAUAAUGUCUUUUUAACUUUAUGUAGCUGGUGUAAUAGGCCCUGUGCAUUGCUGUUGCCUCGACAGAAAAUCAUUACCCAGUAACAGAUGAGCCAGUUCGGAAGAAGUGCCACUGGGAUACUGCACACUUUCAUUCAUAGAUGCUAUGUAUUAGAGGAAGUAACAGGAGGCCUGCCAACUUUCCCAAUUUAAUUAUUAAACUGUCAGUUCCUGACUCCUUGUUUCAACUUCCUGAGGCAACAUCUGGCUGUAAUAACAAAAAUAAAUAAAUAAAAUAAAAUUUGAUCAUUCACUCAGCAGCA